rfam:Monodelphis domestica cont3.067707, whole genome shotgun sequence.
UAGAAUGUGGUGUAAAGGAAACACGUGGAAUUUUGAGUUCUUAAAUGUGGGUUCAACUCCUACUGUUCUAG